GUGUGUGUGAGUGUGUGUGUUUGGUUUUGUUUUCCCUUGGCCAGGAAAGUGAAACAUUAUCCAUUCUGGUACCUUAAUCUUCCAAGUGCCUUCCUCUAUACUCAGGAGGUCUUCAGAUUACUUGGGGAAAUGCAGCAUUAUAAAGGCACAGGGAGAGUUGAUCGCUGAAAGCACAAUUAGCCAUCCUGAGUCCUGCCUACUGAGGAUAUUGUGCAUUUUUCUACAUGAUUCAUGUUGAGCCCAUUUUAAGAUCUCACUCCAUUCCCCACUCAGGAUACCCACAAUCUGAUAAGAAACCUCCACAGCCUUUCUUUUUCCUUAGGAAAAUAAUAACUAUGUACAAAAUACCCUUCCCAUCUUCCUUUUGCCCCAGAAAUGAGAUUUUAGAUCUUCUUUAAUCUCUGAAAGUGGACAGAUAGUUCCUUCUUUUUCAUUGUUCAUAUAGGUGACAUAGGUGACAUUUACAUUAGUGAUAUAGGAAGGAUUUGCCAACCAUUAUAACCAGGUUUUCGAGGACGGCGUCCUUGGAAAUAUGUUGUGUUCAGAGUAGUUGUUUUGGACUGGACCUGCGUUUUCUGGUGAGAAAACAUCCUUUACCACUACGGUUGUGCCCCUGCUAUGCUCUUUGGUCUUAGAGAAUUUCCCGAGGAUACUUAAUCUUUACUUGACUUGCUCAGGCUCAUUCAGCCAGGAUGUGUAUUCCCUGCCAGCCUCUUAAUGCUUUUACUGGCACCAAAAUCUGUAUUUCUGCACUUACAUAGUAAAUGCUUUAAUGACCUUCCCUUUCCUCAGCUCCCCUCCCGCAACCUCCCAGGAGGCAGGAGAUCCAGAGGGGGGAUCCUGUUCCUACCUUGAGAAUUUUCCUACCAAGUCUUCCACAGGAGAAGGGCACCCACCAUUCAGCUCAUGCUAGGUCUUCAGGAUUAGGCCCUGGAGUUCAAGACUCCCCUUGCUGUGAAAUGGAUAUUGGCAGGAGAAUGGGAGUGUGUUUCCUGAACACAUGGACUACCUUUUCCUUUUCUUGGCUGCCAUUUUGUUAUGGGAAUACACAGGGAUCCAGAGACAGGCUAAGAACUAACAUUUUAAUUUUUUUUCUGGAAAGUCUCAUUGCUGGGAAACAUGCUCCUCAUCUUCUUGGAGGAAAGGUAUUUAAAUCAAGAAGGUUACUUCAGACACAAAACCAUUGGUUCCGAUACUCAGUGCCAUAGACUCAGAGAAGCAUCUUUAGUGGACAGAGCCAUACUCUUGCACUCCGUGUUUGCUGUCUCAAACACUUGCUAGCUGUGUGACUGACCCUUGGCAAGUCACUUAUCCACAACCUGCCUCAGUUUCCUCAUAUGAACUGAAUUUGAUGACUUCCAAAGUCCUUUACAGUUCUAAAUCUAUAAGUUUUAGCUUUGAGGAAACCAGCAGAAGGGACACUUUUUAUAUAAUUGCUUUCUUAGAUUAUGGAUGGCUCCUUAAAAAACAUAAAAAAAAAAAAGAUUUGUGCCUACCCCGGAGUUCCCUGCUUUGGUCCUCUUAAUUGUUUAUGUUGUAUCUGUUGGGGUUUGAAGGACCAACAAAAGGUUGGGGUUCCAGACCAGGUGUCUCAAAAGAAUUUGCAAGUUUGGCCCAAUCAAGGGGCUAAAUUUAUUAUAAUUAUAAUGCCUGUUACAGCGGGCCAAGUUCCAAAAGAAUUUAGCAAAGAUCCAGGAGCAAGAAGAUAAAUUUAUAGGAAAAAGUUAGAGAGAUGAGGCGCUUCAUGCUGAUUUUAUGGCUUCCAGGUGGAUUUGAGGAGAGGUUUGGGAAGCACCUCAUUAUUGUCUCACAAACUUUGUUAUCACUGACAGCCAGCAACGUUCGUAGAACGAUGGCACUCCUAAGGCCAGGGGACCUCAGGCUUAUUGCCACAUCCUCCCCAAAAGCUAGGGGAAGAAAUGUCUAAUUACAUUAUUUCCAAGGCCAGGCAGCUAAUACCAUCCAGUGGGAGGAACCACAAUAACAAAACCCUAAAAGUGUCCCUUGCUUUAUUUUUGGGAUAAGCCCUGUGGUGAAAGUGGAUCCCUGCGCCAGUUCUGGCCCACACCCACUUUCAGACCCUGUCGGGAGGAGGAGGUUCUGGGGCCCUGUCAGAACUUCUCACACUGGAUUUCUGGGCUCCAGCUCAAGCAGGGGAAGGGGCUGGGAAAGUUGGUUGUUCCAGCAGGACUUGGAGCCUAGUUUUGUGGGCUCUGAUGUCCCAAAAUGUUUCUUGGCCUUUGAACCUUCCGCUGGUUUUCGCUUCCUGGGUUUAUCUGACAGUAGGUCACAGGACCAAAGCCUGAUCAAUUGGGUUUUACAUUCUUAUCAAAACAGCUGGAUUUUAUUCAGACUGGCCUGGCCUGCUUUUCGGGUUCCUUCUGCACCCUGCCCGGGUUCUGGCCUAGUAGACCACUGGAUCACAGACUUAAAAGUCAGGACAAAUUCGUCCAAUAUCUUCAUUGUGCAGAGGAAGAAACUCGUGAUUUGUCCAAGAGUCUGGACCAGCUCGGUCGGUUUGGAUGGUCCCUCUAAAUAGCUAGGGGAGGGAAUUUCUGUGUCAUCCCUCUCCCCUCCAGGGCCAUUCAACUCAAUCUAAUGAGCCUUGGGUCCCCGGCUACUGACAAACUUGAGGGAGAAGUCCUGCAAAUUCUGCUCUAGUUCAGGAAAGCUUACUGGCUGUGCAGGUUAGCUGGAAGGCUUUUGUUCCUCUUCCAAUCAGAAUGUAGUUUGUCCAGUUGAGUAGGUAAUUAUUCACUGAAAGCAGGUGAUUUGUGUGUUUUUGAUGAAACAAUAGCUCAGUAAACAAAAGACAGAGUCGGCCAGUUAGUAUUUAUUAAGCACCUACUGUAUGCCAGAUCCUAUGCAGGUGAGCAUUUUGUUCCUCUUCCUAUCAGAAGUUUGUCCAGUAGUUUGUCUAGUUGAGUAGGUAAUUAUUCACUGAAAACAGGUGAUUUGUGUGUUUUUGUUGAAAGAAUAACUCAGUAAACAAAAGAGAGAGUCAGCCAGUCAGUCAAUAAGUAUUUUUUAAAUGCCUAUUGUAUGCCAGGUCCAGUCUAUAUACAUGCAAACAUUAAUAUAUAUGUAUAAAUGUUACAUACACACAUUUAUAUAACAUUUAUACAAUAUAUUUACAUACACAUGUUCAUUGUGCAUUUCUAUAUAUACCUGUAAAUGUAUACACACACAACCCUUACAAUUGUACAAUUGCAUUGAACACGUGUACGUUCACGUAUGGUUCUCACAUAUAAAUAACAUGGUAAUUAUCUGACUCAUUAAUAGCAAAUAAAAGGGAGGCUGCUGCCAUCUCUGUGACUUUGGACAAGACCCCCCUAAGGCCCCUCCUAAUUUUAAGUCUAAUCUUCUGAUCUAUGUCUUUACAGUCUGGUAUCAGUGUUGAUAUUUUGAAAAGUCAAGUGAACCUUAAGGUUUUGCCUGAUUAUUUGUAUAUGUACUUUCCAUUUAAAUGACAUAGACUGUGUGAAUCCCAGAUUCUUCACUUUAAGAAACUAACCUUCCUUUGCUCCAUUAGAGCUUGCUGCCAUCUCUCAGUCUGCUUAUUUCUUAGUUUGAGGCAUUUAAAAAUGAUGUGGAAUUAAAUCACGUUAAUUCUCAUAGUGAAGAUCAUUUAAUUAUUGUUUACUGAAGCCGAAUCCUACUCUCGGAGGUUGAUCUAUUAAAUGCAGCCUUGAUAGCAUCUGCAUGUCAAAGUUUGGUCCUUGCAGGUCUUUUCUCUUUAUCUCCUUGCAUUUUAAGCAUUAACAUUUCCAGCACACCCAGUUUGAGUCCCUGCCUUAGCUCACUGAUGAAUAUGGAGAUCUAGGCUGAGAAUUAUUGCUGGAAUAAAUAGGAGUGGAGGCUUCUGCAGGCUGGGGACGAGGAGGAUUUGAUCUUCUCUUCAGGUCCAUUUCUUUUCUCCCAGGCUUUUCUCCUUGGAUAUUUUAGCACUGAGUUAAAAAUGGCAAUUAACAGGGAUAUUAGAACCUGGCCAAAUCACUGGCCAUUACUAGAGUGACUGGUGAAACACAGUGAUGUCUUGAAUGUAAUUUGUGUUUCUUUCCUCCUCAAAUGUGACUGAAGUCUCAUGGUUCCCUAGGAAGACCAGCCUAACAGAACUUGAUAAAACUGAUGAACCUCCUGUAGCCUUGUCCGUAAACAAAAGUCUAUUUUCCUCCUUUCUUUGUGCAGGAACGAGUCCCAAAAUGCCAUCCAUGAAAUCCAAGGUUAUCCUAGGACACCUGAAGUCAUCUCAAGCAAAAUCUUUAAAAAAAAAAAAAAAAAAAAAAAAAAGACAGAAUGAAGGGGAAGCAGGAGGAAGCAUUUAUUAAAUAUCUUCUGUCUGUCAGGCACUAAUACUAGGCUCUUUAUACAUAUCAUCUCAUUUGAGAGGCAGUAUUUUUGACAUUCUUUUUUUUCCUGAGGCAUAACUUGGCAGAGUUGGGGCGGAAGAAUUUCUAUAUUGAGUAGGAAAAGCUCACUGUGAGAGGAAGUAUUUUCCUCAGUGUUUAUCUUUUGUUCUAUUAUUACAGUAUGAUUCAAACUAUUGUAAAAUUAAUAACAAGUGUGAAUUGUAGAAUCCUAAAAUACUAACCCACUUUGUUAUUGUUGCUUUUCUAGCACAUGUAUUGUCCCUUCCUGCAGAAGAUUGCCCUUUGCAGGGGGAUUUAGGCAGGCCCAUCUUGGGCCUGUAUUCUCAUAGGAAUAGCUUAUAUUUUCAAGGUGUCUUUCAUGAAUUCCACUGGUCCCCUUCCUUGCCAUAGCUUCAGCUUAUAAACUAUGAGAUCUUUUUUUUCUCCCUCCCUCUUCCUGAUGGCCAAGGGAGUGGGGCAGCCCAAUACCUCCACCUACAGAUGCUGAGUGUGAUGGAUUAAGGAUGGCCAUCGUUAAAGUGUUCAAAAGGCUCCCAAGCUCUGGUGACUUUUGAAUAUUUCAAGCUCUGAGCCUGCUUUUGUAGAGAAGAAAAAUACCUGGCUCAUUAAAGAUCAUCACUUGCUAUAGCUGAGAAUAAGGAUAUUGGAGAAAGUUACCUUAUAUUAAAGAACACUCCAGAUUUAUCCAGUCCUUUCCACCUCGUGGGUCACUUACAACAAUCCUGGAAAAUAGGCGGGUUAAGAAUGAUUAUCUUCAUUUUAGAAAUGGGGAAACUGAGGCUCAGAUUUUCCCUACAUCUCUCUCAGAUAAUAUGUGAAUAUUGGAAUACAAAUUCAUGAAUUCUCAUUCAAAGUCAGAUGCUCCUUUUACUCCACUGUCCUUAGUUAGGAUUCCCCAUCGCCAUGAUGCUUGCUUGGUGAAGAAAUGGAAAAAUGUUUUGUUUUGUUUUGUUUCUUAAUCCUGAAAUUGCUGUUUCCUCCUUUAAAAUAAUCAGCCUUGUUGAUGCAGCAGGUCUGCUCUAUGUACAUAAGCUCACACUUUUCAAACCCCCAACAGCUUGAAAUAAGCUGGCCAGGGCCUACAAUACUGAAUGGUACUCAUUUUGUUUCUAGGACAUUUCAGUUCCAAAAAAAAAAAAAAUUAAGAAGCUUGUUAGUUCAUCUGGUGACAUACCUAAUCUCAGCUAGGGGUGGAUGGAUACUGUCUUUUUUUUAAAGCUGUUAAGUAUUUAUGAUAUAAAAGAGCCAGAGCAAUGGAAAACCUGGCUCAGUUUUGAAUUACUCAAAUAAAUAAAUGCAAUUGAGUCGAAA